rnacentral:pre_miRNA from 9 species
GCGUCGCCUUCUGUACGUAUACUGAAUGUAUCCUGAGUGCGCGAUUCUUGUCCGGUAUACCUUCAGUAUACGUAACAGAAGAUGACAC